ensembl:lncRNA novel transcript, antisense to STXBP5L
UGGGGUGGCAGGGUGAGAAAGGCAGAGAUGGCAGCAGUAAGAGGGAAGAAUAUCAUUAUUUCUUUUUCCAUAUUUACCUGUACUAUGUUUCUCAGAAGCUGAAGUGCUGUCAGUAUUCUGGUAGGCUUGAAAGAUCUGGCACAAGAGAAAGCUCAAUCUGUUUACCUGUGAGUGUUCUUCAAACAUGAGGGCAAGCAAAAGUCCCUUCUGCCUCAUUCUCUGCAGCCAUGGCCCAGCAUGUGUAGUCACAUGCAUUUUCUCAUUCUGUUUGACCUGUCAGCUGGACCUGAAACAGGCCAUCCCCAUUUUGCAUGAUUCAGAUGUGCACAAAUCCCAGUUACUAUGGUUUACUUAAUAACAUGAGUCUCCCCUGCAACACAAUUCAAAUUUCAGUUACCAGUGGAUAUUAACUGUGAGUAACUGCAUGAAAUUCAAACUUCACUGAUAGUUCUUCAAACCACAACCACUGUGUAAAUAAGAAAUGCACAUUGUGUUAUGCAGAAUAAUGCCCCCCACCCCAAAGUUCACAUCCUAAUUCCUAAAAUCUGUGAACUAUUAUAUUACAUGGCAAAAGGGACCUUGUUGAUGUGAUUAAGUUAGAGAUCUUGAGGUGGGGGAUUAUCCUGGAUUAUCUGAAUGGUUCCAUUGUAAUCACCAGGGUCUUUAUAAGAGGGAAGCAGAUGGUCAGAGUCAGGGAAGAUGUGACAACAGAAACAGAGAAAGAUUUGAAGAUGCUACACUGCUGGCUUUAAAGUUGGAAGAAGGGGCCAUGAGCCAAGGAAUGCAGGAACCCUCAAAAAAUUGGAAAAGGCCAAAAUCAACAGCCAAUUUGGAUACCAUCAAGACACCUGAAACUUUUUCAUAAGCCAGAUGCCGAGGAAGAGAUUCUGGGAGGAUCCCGAGGACCCCUCGGUUGCAGCCAUGUCGAGACUGACGCUGAGGAGGACCCCAACUGUCACAAGCAACACCUGUCGAACACAGCCACCCACCUGGGGACAGAUCAAGAAGCUGUCACAGCUGGUGGAAGAAAACCUGAGGAAAGCGGGACAACCACUCACAAUGAGUAAUUUAAUGGUAGCUAUGAUAGCGGUAUCACCAUUGCUGUGAGUAUUCCUUCAACAAGGGCUGACACAGAGAACAAUUAUACUUAUUGGGCAUAUUUAUCAAACUUGGCUGGCAAUAAUGCCUAGAUGUAAUCACUCUAUGAUGCAGUUGCACAUGCUUUCUGAUCUCAGUAUUUAUCAUAAUAAAUCUGCUCCUAUAAUUGAGGCAUACCACCCUCAAAAACCUAUUUGUAAACAAAAUGGAACCUGACCAGAAAAAAAUGCAAGAAUAUUUUAUUAAUGACUAAAGGUUUAGCAGAAACAAUUUAACAUAUGUAUCAUACUCAUCUGUAAGACUAUGCUUUUGGAAAACUCAGCCUUAAUUAAAAGUCAUAAUUUUUAAUUUCUUAUUUGUUUGAAAAAAUUUUCAUCAUUUUGAAUUUAUAUUUCCACAGUCCAAGAUUAUUUCUUCUGUUUCAGACUUUUCUUAUGUGAAAUAGAAGAGUUUUGUUUUGUUUUCCGUUUGGUUUAGCCUGAAAAAAGAUGUAAAAUUGCAAAUACCUCAAAACUACAUGCCCAAGUAAGGAUGUGUAUAAUUGACAGUCUUUCAAUGUUUGCCAGUCACACAUCUAAAGGGUUACUUACUAUUUCUGCUCUAUUAAGAAAAGAACUAUAUAUCUAGUUCAUUGAAUUUUCACAAAGAAUGAUAAUAGAUUUUUUUUCAUCUGUCUAUAUAAGAAGGGGCCCUAUUCUGGCAAAAGUCUGAAUUCAUGCCACUAAAAAAUGACAAAAGGGUAAAUGAAGUUUUAUUUUUGAUAAUAAUACCUGAAGGGAAUUUCAUUUUUCUUCAGUGAAUUUUAAAAAUCUAAAAAUCCUUUAAAACCCUCAACAGCCUGUAAUCCCAGCACUUUGGGAGGCUGAGACGGGUGGAUCAUGAGGUCAGGAGAUCAAGACCAUCCUGGCUAACAUGUGAAACCCUGUCUCUACUAAAAAAUGCAAAAAA